GAAAUGCGAUACGUAAUGUGAAUUGCAGAAUUCAGUGAAUCAUCGAAUCUUUGAACGCACCUUGCGCCCCUUGGCAUUCCGAGGGGCACACCCGUUUGAGUGUCGUGACAUCCUCAACCUUUCUYGUUCGUUUCGACCAAGAAAGGCUUGGACUUUGGAGGUUUUCUUUUUUUUGCCGGCCUCCUUUCGAAGCCGGCUCCUCCUAAAUGAAUUAGCAGGGUCUGCUUUGCCGAUCCUUGACGUGAUAAGAUGUUUCUACGUCUCGGAUUUCGCACYGUUACCUUUGGAUCCUGCUUCUAAUCGUCUUGCGAAAGACAAAGCUCAUAAUAAUAAACCUUGACCUCAAAUCGGGUGAGACUACCCGCUGAACUUAA
rnacentral:rRNA from 1 species